rnacentral:rRNA from 1 species
UCGGGAAUAUUGGACAAUGGGGGAAACCCUGAUCCAGCCACGCCGAGUGAGUGAUGAAGGCCUUAGGGUUGUAAAACUCUGUCGUAAGGGAAGAUAAUGACGGUACCUUACAAGAAAGCACCGGCUAACUCCGUGCCAGCAGCCGCGGUAAUACGGAGGGUGCAAGCGUUACUCGGAAUUACUGGGCGUAAAGCGAGCGCAGGCGGCUUAUUAAGUCGGGUGUGAAAGCCCGGGGCUCAACCCCGGAACUGCAUCCGAAACUGGUAAGCUAGAGGAUGAGAGAGGAAAGUAGAAUUUCUGGUGUAGAGGUGAAAUUCGUUGAUAUCAGAAGGAAUACCCGUGGCGAAGGCGGCUUUCUGGCUCAUUUCUGACGCUGAGGCUCGAAAGUGUGGGUAGCAAACAGG